rnacentral:rRNA from 1 species
ACCGGCAGCUCAAGUGGUGGCCAUUUUUAUUGGGCCUAAAGCGUUCGUAGCCGGUUUGAUAAGUCUCUGGUGAAAUCCCGCAGCUUAACUGUGGGACUUGCUGGAGAUACUAUUAGACUUGAGGUCGGGAGAGGUUAGGGGUACUCCCAGGGUAAGGGUGAAAUCCCAUAAUCCUGGGGGGGCCACCUGUUGCGAAGGGCCCUAACCGGAACGAACCUUACGGUGAGUAACGAAAGCCAGGGGCGCGAACCG